GAUUUUUUGUCAUUGUUAGUUUGUUUAAAUAAAUUAUAAGACAGUAUAUUAAGCUUUAGUCUCUGUAACUCUUAUGUUUGUGCCCCAUUAUUUUAGUGCUUUAGAGCAACACCUUGUUUUUCCUCUAUUUUAUACUAGUUCUUGCUCCAGAGGCAUGGCUUUGAGGCUAGAAUCAUGAGCAAUCUCUCAUAAACAAGUCUGUUAUGCACCUGGAGAUACUCAAGAUUUGCCUCUGUUAGCAUGGCCACUUAGAGAUUACUCUGUUCUACUUCAGAGACCCUCCACUAUGGCAUCCAUGCAGGGUGUGUGCUUGGGGACUAAGCAAUCUUGUUCA
rnacentral:lncRNA from 1 species